rnacentral:rRNA from 1 species
UACAGAGGUCCCAAGCGUUGUUCGGAUUCACUGGGCGUAAGGCGCGUGUAGGCGGCCAGAAAAGUCCGCUGUGAAAACUCGAGGCUCAACUUCGAGCUGUCGGUGGAAACUUUCUGGCUAGAGUCCGGAAGAGGAGAAUGGAAUUCCUGGUGUAGCGGUGAAAUGCGCAGAUAUCGGGAAGAACACCCGUGGCGAAGGCGGUUCUCUGGGACGGUACUGACGCUGAGACGCGAAAGCGUGGGGAGCGAACAGG